CAGUCAGCUGAUCGAGUUUUGUACAUAACGCAUGUAGUAUGUACGUUAUUUUUUUUUCAAUGUUUGUGAAAAAAAUGUUUUGUUUUUGUUAUAAGUUAUGCGUAUUACGUAUCUGUCAAUUAUAAGCAUACAACAUGAUUCCAUGAACAUUGAACAUUGUUCAAAUAUGACUGACCAGUUACCACCACCAUAUGUGUUGGACUUCAAUAUCACUGUUAUUAUGACAGUUAUUCAUCCAGCAAGUAAAUUAUAUUACCUACUCAAGUAAUCCUAAAAAAAAACCUCACGGACAAUUCGAGAAAACAUGAAACCUUUUUAAUGCAUCGUAUGCCAAGCCAUUUUAAUGAAAACUGUUGAGUGUUUAUACAUUAAUGUUUAACGGUGAUAAUGUUGCAUAAUCACAAUUUGCCUGAACUUGAAGAGAAUGUUUUUCAAAAAAAUUCAUGAAAAUUAUAAAAAAUACCAACUACCUAGAUGAUGAAGUGCUAUGAUAAAAUAGUUUGGUAAUUAUUAAACAAAGAGUGAUUACAAACAUAGUUGGUAUACUAAUGUCAAAAAAAAAUUACCUUCAAAAUGUAAGUAGUUUCAUAAAAUAUGGUCCAAUUAAUUGAUUAUUAAGUACUGUACAUACAUUGGGGGGCUAUUGAUUUGGUCCAUUACACUAAGUCCAUUCCAGUAUAAUAGUUAUGCUUCAUCACUGAAUAAUAUUAUUUUCAUCAACUAUUUUGUACUUGCGAAUUGGAUUUUUGGAAAACAUUAGUAAAAUACCUUAUUGUUAAUUAACUUUGAUCGUAGUAUAAGACCUAUAAGAAUAUGAUUGAUAACUAAUAGAUACAUUUUUAUUGAGUUAUCGUGUUCCAAUCAUCACAUGUAUGGAAAUUAAAUAUGUAUACAUUUAUGUAUUCUAUAUUCACAGUUAAUUAUUUUAGUGCAAAUGAAUUCCUAUUACACUUAGUACAAAUAAUACCAACAUCAACAUUCUAAAAUGUAAGUUAAUGAAUUUAA
rnacentral:lncRNA from 1 species